rnacentral:rRNA from 1 species
UGGGGAAUAUUGGACAAUGGGCGAAAGCCUGAUCCAGCAAUGCCGCGUGAGUGAUGAAGGCCUUAGGGUUGUAAAGCUCUUUUACCAGGGAUGAUAAUGACAGUACCUGGAGAAUAAGCUCCGGCUAACUCCGUGCCAGCAGCCGCGGUAAUACGGAGGGAGCUAGCGUUGUUCGGAAUUACUGGGCGUAAAGCGCGCGUAGGCGGUUUUUUAAGUCAGAGGUGAAAGCCCAGUGCUCAACACUGGAACUGCCUUUGAAACUGGAAAACUUGAAUCUUGGAGAGGUCAGUGGAAUUCCGAGUGUAGACGUGAAAUUCGUAGAUAUUCGGAAGAACACCAGUGGCGAAGGCGACUGACUGGACAAGUAUUGACGCUGAGGUGCGAAAGCGUGGGGAGCAAACAGG